rnacentral:lncRNA from 1 species
UGGUCAGUUCAGAUAUUGCCAUGUGUCAUCAUCUGGUAGACCUUCGAUUUGACCACCUUCAUCUCGAUCGUUGAGGGAUCCUAUAUAAAGGGUCACUCUCAAUCAAAUUUUUAUUUUUCACUAUUUUUGAUGCUGGAACUCUAUCGGAUUGUUGCCCCAACAUCCAAGGUUAUCACUAUCAACUUUCAGGUCAACUUCAUCUUUCUUUCGAGUCCUUUCCUCUAAUGUCUCUAUCUUCUUCAGAGUUAUUUUCAUGGCUAGGGCUUCUCCUUCUCGAGAAGAUCGGUCAGAGAAUCUGACUG